rnacentral:rRNA from 1 species
UACGAAGGGGGCUAGCGUUGUUCGGAGUUACUGGGCGUAAAGGGCGCGUAGGCGGCGCAUCAAGUCAGGCGUGAAAGCCCUGGGCUCAACCCGGGAAUUGCGCUUGAGACUGGUGUGCUUGAGUACGGGAGAGGAUAGUGGAAUUCCCAGUGUAGAGGUGAAAUUCGUAGAUAUUGGGAAGAACACCGGUGGCGAAGGCGGCUCACUGGCUCGUAACUGACGCUCAUGCACGACAGCGUGGGGAUCAAACAGG